rnacentral:piRNA from 1 species
UGAGCUCCAGGCGUUCUCCUGUCUCC